AUGACGGUGUAAAAGAGAGUGAGGAACUUGUCCUGGUCUUUGGAAGCCCUGUUACCUGGCUGCAGGUGGCUGAUUUAGGUUCCAAGCAGAAUUGAAUUGGGUGCCUUGGAAGCCUGAGGCAGAUUUGGUACUAUGGAGGGUGCACUUGCUGAUAUGAAGUUUUAUUUUAUACAAAUCCUGGAGAAGCUAAGUGAGGCCAUGUCAAUGUUGCCAGAAGACAUGAGAAUCAUGCCAGAUCUCUGUGGCUUAACAUGGAACAUAGUGUUGCCCCAUGAUGGCACACAGCUUUACUCAGCAAACCCUGCCAGCUUCCAAGCCCUAGGAUACUGACCUGCAUCAGCACAUGGGGCAGCAUUACCUCCCCAACAGUGUGGAGAAGAGAACAUUUCACCACUGGGUGAUGAGAGAGUAGACAGUGACUCUUGGCUUCUCAAUGCUAGACAUGAUUGGAGACCUUUCAUUGUUCUGUUAGAAAAGUCCAUGAAGAAGCUGUGAAUAGGAUCAGUCCAGAGAAAAAAAACUCUUAUUUUCACUGUCCAAACAUCAGUCAAUAUAUUGGGAGAGCCAGCAGAAUCCCUCACCCUAGCCUUGCCUCUUGAGCACACUGCACAUGAACACUUCCAUGGGGUGAGCGUUCAGCUCCUAAAGGGCCAUGUUCCUCUUUCCUGUGGUCUGUCCAGAAAGCCCAAAUAUCUCAAAGAGUUUUUCUUCACUGAUUGCAUUGUUCUGUCUAUUUUGUUACCCAAGAUAAGGAUUGGCACAUUGGAUAUUAUUUCAUCAGUGAUUAAAGCAUUAAGCUCAACUUUAGAUUCCAUGAGGCCAGAAUGAUCUGCAGAAUCCACCAGAAAAACAAUCUCAUUAAUUGCUGGGAGACAAUUUUUUCAAACCUGACAUGCUUGCUUGUGUCCACCAAGAUCAAAAGUUGUAAAAGUCAUUCCAGCAAUUAUUAGCUUUUCUGAUGUCGGAUGUAGUGUUGGAACAUGUUGACCCAAUCUGUCAUCUUUGAGCAUGUGAAGAAGAGUGGUUUUGCCUGCAUUGUCCAAACCCAAAAAUACAAGUUUUCCAAAUUUCUUGUAGAGUCCUAGGAACUGGAGCACACUGCUGAAGCCAUCGUAGAUCCACUCAAAGAGGAAAGACAUUAUUCAUGCUUACUAUGGCCUGAAGGGCUCCUCCAGCAAUGGUGGGUGGCCCAGGCCCUCCCUCAGAGCACACCCCAAAUAUUUUCAGAUAUGAAAACCUACUUACUCUUUAGAGGUAAGGAAGGUACUUUAAAAAAAUUUAUUUUAUUUUAUUUAAGUUCUGGGAUACCUGUGUGGGAUGUGCAGGUUUGUUACAUAAGUAAACGUGUGCCAUGGUGGUUUGCUGCACCUAUCAACCCAUCACCUAUGUAUUAAGCCCAGCAUGCAUUAGCUAUUUUUCCUGAUGUUCUCCCUCCCCUCUCUACCCCCAGACAGGCCCCACUGUGUGUUGUUCUCCUCCCUGUGUCCAUGUUUUCUCAUUGCUCAGCUCAUCAUUCCAUGAGUGAAAACAUGCAGGGUUUGGUUUUCUGCAUAAUGGUUCCUGCAUAAUGGCUUCCAGCUCCAUCCAUGUCCCUGCAAAGGACACGAUCUUGUUCUAAAGGUACUUUUAAAAAAGUACUUUAUAGGGUUGCCACUCACUCUAUAAAGCUGUGAAACUUUGUUCCCUGUACCGAUAAUACAGUUGAAAUUUCUUGGUAAGAGUCAUUAUAUCAAUUCCUUAAUGGGUAUGCUUCCCUCUAACUUUCUUGCCAUAAUAAAAUGAAAUGAUAAAUUUUGGCACCUGUUAUUUAUAAUGGACUCAGGAGUAAGAGACGCCAAGGAAACUGAAUCUGCCUCAACAAUUUUGUAAAAAUUUGCUUGGAUCACAAGGGGGAAAUUAAGAUUAUUAUUUUAGGUGCCAAGAUCUAAUUUUCUUUUAUUUAUAGUUUUUCUCAAGAUAUUAUUUCUUUAGAUUUCUGCCACCAUAGAGCCAUCAUAAUCCUAGUUCUACAUACAGACAAAAGAAGUCUUCAAUAAUUUCUUCCACAAUAGCCCAACACAGUAUAGACUUUUUACCUUCCAUUGACUACAUUAAAGUUCCUCAUUUUAUUUAAAUCAUAAAAACAUUGUGUCAAGAAGAUAUUAACAUACAUUAAUGUUAUUUAAACAUGAUUAAAAAUCAUGGAAUCUGGAAUUUUGAAAAUAUGGGUCCUGAAAACUUUUGGCCAUGGGCUUGUUUUUAAAGUAAUUGCUUUUUUCACCCAUGCUUAACAAUUAGCAGCAGAUCUAGCAAUCUGGAAUCCUUCAAGCCAAGUUCACACCGAUCAUCUCAGGCUUGUUCUUCGCUCCCACGUUUGUUUUCAUCAUUUGCUGCAUUCUACAACUAUAUUCAGCUUCUGGUCCUUUAUUUUUUAAAACAAUAUUUAAUUGACAAUAAAGAUCGUAUAUAUUCAAGGUGUACAGUGUGAUGAUUUGAUAUACGUAUACCCUUUGUUUUUAUUUCUUUUCUGUCUAAAUCCACUCCCACCCAAUUCAUUAUUGACAUUAAUGAAUACAUUUGACUUAUUCUCAGUAACCCUCAGCUUUAUGUAGGGAUACAGUGUAUAUAUAUAUAUUUUUUCCUAUUAUAGCUUUAAUUUUAAAACAUUAUCCUUUUUGAUUGUAUUAGUUUCCUUAUGUCAUCCUACUGGUGUGGAAAUGAAAAGCGAAUGAUAAAUUCUUACUACACAGUUAAUCUAGUUAAUGAAACUAUCAUUCUCAGCAAACUAACACAAGAACAGAAAACCAAACACUGCAUGUUCUCACUCAUAAGUGGGAGUUAAACAAUGAGAACACAUGGAACAGGGAGAGGAACAUCACACACUGGGGCCUGUCAGGGGUGGAGGCCUAGGGGAGGGAUAGCAUUAGGAGAAAUACCUAAUGUAGAUGACGGGUUGGUGGGUGCAGCAAACCACCAUGGCACAUGUAUACCUAUGUAACAGACCUUCACGUCCUGCACAUGUACCCCAGAACUUAAACUAUAAUAAUAAAAAAAGGUAAAAUAGCGAUAUAAAAUAGAAAUUUAUGAAUAUGUACUGAUAAAAAUAUAAAAAAGUGAAUACAUGAAGGGGGAAAAGGGAAAACUCUUAUGGCACAUCAAUUAAUAAAUAGGGCAUACUAGGAUUGGAGAAUUAUUAAGAGAUGUUAAAAUUAGUGGGUGAAAGUUUAAGACAUUUACAGAGUUAUGCUGUCUCCCACAAAUUACUUAUUAAUUUCUCAGGAAAAAAAGCAUAAUGAGAUCUGGGGGACACCAUGUUAGUCAAGUGACUAAAGUUAACAGCAUCAAUUUUAAGACAAACUAUCCUUAUACACUUUUCUGAAAUGUUGCAUCAUUAUUGGCCCCUGAAUGGGAGAAAAUAUAAAGAACAUUUUGGAGAUAAUUAACAAGAUCUGAAUAUGAACUAUUGAUUACAUAAUAGUAUUAUAUGACUGUAAAAUGUCCCAGUUUUUAUGAUUGUACUGGUUAUGUAUGUAAGUUAAUGUCCUUAGCAACUAUACACUAAAGUGUAUGUAGUAAUAAAAAGUUUGGGAAAAAUUUCAUAGAUAUGAAAACUAUAUUUAUAUAUUACAUAUGUAUAAAAGUAAGGCAAAUGUAAAUGAAUGAUGACUCUGGAAAAGGGUAUUUAAAGUUCUGUAUUAUACUUGCAACUUUAAAAAUUAUAUUAAAAAUACAUUAUAAAUGUAAAAUAUAGUAAACUACAUUAAAUAAAAAGAUGACAAUAAAAAGAACACUUGUGGUUAUGAUACUUCCUGCCAGAUCAAGGCCUUAGCACCUGCUGUUUUGUCUACUCU
rnacentral:lncRNA from 1 species